rnacentral:rRNA from 1 species
AGCGAACGCUGGCGGCAGGCUUAACACAUGCAAGUCGAGCGGGCGUAGCAAUACGUCAGCGGCAGACGGGUGAGUAACGCGUGGGAACGUACCUUUUGGUUCGGAACAACACAGGGAAACUUGUGCUAAUACCGGAUAAGCCCUUACGGGGAAAGAUUUAUCGCCGAAAGAUCGGCCCGCGUCUGAUUAGCUAGCUGGUGAGGUAACGGCCCACCAAGGCGACGAUCAGUAGCUGGUCUGAGAGGAUGAUCAGCCACAUUGGGACUGAGACACGGCCCAAACUCCUACGGGAGGCAGCAGUGGGGAAUAUUGGACAAUGGGGGCAACCCUGAUCCAGCCAUGCCGCGUGAGUGAUGAAGGCCCUAGGGUUGUAAAGCUCUUUUGUGCGGGAAGAUAAUGACGGUACCGCAAGAAUAAGCCCCGGCUAACUUCGUGCCAGCAGCCGCCGUAA